rnacentral:rRNA from 1 species
AUUGAACGCUGGCGGCAGGCCUAACACAUGCAAGUCGAGCGGAGUUGCGAACGGGUGAGUAACGCGUAGGUAACUGCCUGGUAGCGGGGGAUAACUAUUGGAAACGAUAGCUAAUACCGCAUACUACCAGAUGGACCUGCGUUGUAUUAGCUAGUUGGGGGGGUAACGGCUUCCCAAGGCGACGAUACAUCGCCGACCUGAGAGGGUGAUCGGCAAAACUGGGACUGAGAAAAGGCCCAGACUCCGACGGGAGGCAGCAGUAGGGAAUCGGCGGAAAUGGAAGGAAGUCUGACCGAGCAACGACGCGGGAGUGAAGAAGGUUGUCGGAUCGUAAAGCUCUGUUGUAAGAGAAGCGGUAUCUUACCAGAAAGGGACGGCUAACUACGUGCCAGCCGCCGCGGUAAUAC